AAGGCAAAACUUUAGAGUUGCAAGAGUAGCAUAGCAGCAAUUCCUCCCAUGCUGAAUUUCUUUAGCAGAUUUUCCUCAUUUGAAUCCGGUGCCUUCCUUGUCUUUCUCACGUGACGGAAAUCUCAUUUCUCUCUAGGACCCUGUGACCACUAGAGAAUUCAAUCUGCCUGGAGGAGCUAUUGAAUGCUGAGGCAACCAUGAUCUGUCGAGUGACUGAGCAGCACCCCUGCUUUAUAGGCACAGAUUCUUUUUAUUGGCUGCAGACUGAAGGAUGAGAAUAUUUCUUUCCUCUUCUAAUUCUGGUCUGAAUAAGAAAAACACUUAUAGCAAACAUAGUCAAUUCUCAUCUUCCACUGACUAUAAAGGAAGCCCAUGAAGACAACUCUCUGUUCCCACCAUAAAUAUCUAUAUGAUACCUGCCAAAAUCUGCAACAUGGAAGUUGAAAGAGUCUCCACGGAAGUGGAAAGGAUGAUUUCUUCGAUCUUAGUCUCUCAUAGAAGGAUCUGGGGAGUGUUGCAACUGCUAUUUUCAUUUUGCCUUUGCAUGAGAUAGCUUCUUGUGCCUGUCUAACCCCAAAGAGACUGCAGUCUGACCUACUUGAUGUAUGUGGAUAGGUACCAUGAAGCCCUUAUUCACAUACAUUCAGAAAGACUUUCCCUAGAAUAAGAAGGUCACUGCAGCCAUAAAGUUGAGAUAAUUUUAUCACAGCAUAUGAGGCUGUAUGUUAAAAAUAACAAGGAACAAAAUAUCUAAAAUCUCUAUUUCACCAAUUAAGUUAUUAUAAAGCUAAUGGAAUUUUACUAAACAAACUAAAGGAAACUGCCAUUAAGGUACUCUCCUCUUACCUCUAAAGUGGCAGCAACAAUUUGAUUUCCAACUGAGAAGAACUCAGGAGUAAAUUCCUGAGCCCGUAGGUAGAAAGAUACUACAGUAGAGAAGAUGCGGACCAUUGUUUCAUCACUAAAAGAAUUAAUAGUGCAAAUGUUGAAGUGUCGCAAAAAUCGAGGAGUAACAGGAUUCCUCCCACCGCCUGGAGGCCCCAUAGCAGCAAGUAACUGUAUAUCAACUAGUGUAAUUUUAGAUGUAUCCUUUAAAUCGUACCUGCAAAAUAAAUUGUAAUGUGACAUUUAGUUAGAGAAAGAUAUAAACACAUUUGUUAAAGGUUAAAUGCACCCAUACUACAGAAUGCUCUCUGUGUGCAUAACAUAUGUACAUACAUAUACAAAUAUAACAAUUAAAACCAAAAAACAAUGAAACCCCAAACUAGUCUUGUAACUAACUAUGCCCAAGCUCAUCUUAACACAUCGAGCUGGCCUGAAAGAAAGAUUAUUUGUUUAAUAAGGGUUAAAUAAAACUUGAUCUGAAAUUUUGAAACAAAUAUUUAAAACUGUAGUGUGGCAAAAUAUAUAUUCUCUCUGUUCAAGAGUAUCAGACAUUUGAGCAGUGCCUGAAAUCACAAAAGUAACAUUAUUCAGGAAGUGCCUGGAAUCACAGAGUAAUUCAGGCUGGAAGCAACCCCAAGAGACAACCUGGUUCAUUCUUCCAGUCAAAGCUGAGCCAAAAAAUCUCAAAAGGUAGGAAGAGAUAUAGCUUGUUUCUCUUCAUGCCUACUACCAGAUCUGAUUUCAAUGUUAUUCAAAAAAAAAAAAAAAAAAAAGAAGGUAAUUAAAAAUAUUCUAAUGAGCAAGAGAAUCUUGGAUAUCAGUAAAAAACAAUGUAUUGAGUAAAAUCAAAAGUUACAUAUAAUUGCAUUCUAAAAAAUAGGUCUGCCAAUUCACUGUGAGGAGGAGGAAGAGAAUGGAAAGUAACAAAGAACACUGAAAAAAGUAAAAACAAGGAUAAAUGCUGACACAGAAAAAUUAAAGUGUAAAAGAAUUGUUUUUUUUAUACAUAAAAAUACUGAAUUUCAGCAAGAGCCCAUGCACAAAAAAAAAAAAAAAGAAAAAAAAUCAAUUUCCUAAAUUGAAAAAUCACUUAAAGAACAACAUAAAAGUUGCUUCAACUUUAAAUGUUUUUCAUAUAAAGCAAAGCUAUCAUAAAAUUUACAAAGCAUUUUAAGAAAGUUUUGAAAAGAAAAUUCAAGUGAAUAAUUAUAUCACCAAAUGCAGCAACUUGAACUUUUCACUUUUAUUUCAAAUAAUUACCAAAUUCCAUGGUCAAAGAACUGUCUUAAAAGUUCUAUAGGAGGCUGUGCACCAUACUUCUCCAAGGCAGGCAUAUUCAUAUCAUCUAUGAAAAUAAUGCACUUUUUUCCCAUUGGAGGGCCAAAGACUCCUUUACGCCUCUUGUCCAGCCUGGCCAUAAUAAUGUUCUACAAUGCAGACAGGAAUAUUCAGAACACAGAUUAAAUAUUUAUAUAGAUCAUAUUUUUGAAGCACAGAUUGUCCGUUCUACCAACCUGAGUCUGAUUGGCACUGGUUCGUGCUGAAAAAUUAAUGAAGAAGGGAAAAUAGCGCUCCUUUUCCAAGUUGUUCAUUAACUUGUCCUUGACAUAUACAGAUUUCCCAGUACCUGUCGGUCCCACUAAAAGCAGUGGUCUUCACCAAGAAAGAAAGAAAGAAAGAAAGAAAGCAUAGACCACAGAAAUCUGAACAACUACAAAUUAAUUGCAAGUAAAAGACAAAGGCUCUAAGUUCUAUCUUUAAAAAUAUUAAAUGCCUUAAAAAAAAGAAGCUAUAAUGUUUUAAAAUACUUGUUCACAUAACCUCUUUGUAAUUGACAAAGGGGUCAGAGGUAGAGAAGGAGACAUUUCUCAUUCUCUCAUUCUCCUGGUUUUGGAGUAUAUAUAGACGUUUGUGGAACUUAAAUUACUACUGAUAGGUCUUUCAGCAAUUUAAACUUCAUAAAACUUUCAGCCUUGAAAUUCAAUCUGAAAUUGUUACAUUCUGUUCUUUUGUAUAAUAAUAUAUAAUAAUAUAUUUAUACACACACAUAUAUGUAAUAUAAUUGAUUUUAACUUAGGACAAAUCAAAGAAAAAUAUAUGUUUCAGUACCAAAGAAGAAAAAAAAAAAGAAAAAAAAAAAAAAGAGUACAAAACUUCCUCAAGCUGUUGUAAUUGAAUUAUCAGAAAGACAUAGAAUGAACACACUAAAGCAGAAUUAUAACAGGACUUCAUUGAAACAAAACAAAACAAACCUAGACUUUAAGGCAACAAAUUGUAUUCUUCAUAAUAAAUGCCUAUUUUUAACAGGCCAAACAAACCUUGAGGGCUUGAUAAAAAACAUGAAGUCAAUGAAAGAGUAAAAAAUGUUUCUACAUACAAUAAAUAGUUCUGAAAUUUGUAUUGAAGUUACUUACUUUCCAUGGGCAAUGAACAGUUCCAUCAAAUAGGUAUAUCUGACUGUAUCCAUAGUUGGGACUAUGAUAUCUUGAAUCUUCAAAUUUUUAUCACUGUAAUUAAUAUUUUUAAUAAAUCCAUUCCAAUGAACCCAACAUCCUCUGCCUUUCAGCUAGGAAAAAAUACAGAUGUAAAAUUAAGGCUUCUGGUUAGGAAAAGAAAAAAAAAAAAAAAAAACGAAACAAAACAGAAACAAAAAGCAACCAUACAAAAUAAUAAUAAUUAAUAAUAAUAAUAAUAAUAAAACACAGAAGAACAUAUGCCUAACUUUAAACCAGUACGUAGAAUCUAAGAUUUCCAGUGGAUACGAUAAACACAACUGUAACACAAACAAGUUGCCCACAGACAUAAUAUCCUUCUUUACAGAAAGUAGCCAUCUUUCCUUCUAUGCAGUACCAGACCUGACCCUGUCAGCUUAGCUUUAUCUAAAAAGGGACCAUAACUGAUGUGCACAGCUUGGUAUUGUAUAAAAAAAAAAAAAAAAAUUGGAAAAAAUUACAACAAUCUUUGUAAAGUUAAAAUAUACAUCUACCUCUAUUUUCCUUCCUUUCAGACUGUAAAAAUUUACUUCAGUCAAUACAGAAGCAUGCAAUCUUACCUCAAACACGUAGUCAUAGACCAAGCCUUUCUCUUCAAAGGGACAUUCCCAUUUUCCCACUACCUUUGGUACAGGAUUUGUUCCAGAUUUUCCAGCCAAAGUUUCCCUCAAGAAAUUAUCAAAAAUAAUUCUGCUAUCACCAUCACAAGUCCCACCAAUGGACCAGAUUGUGGCAAAAGCAAAGCAACCCUGCAAAGGCAAAAAGAUGAGCAGCUGUCUAAAAAGGUGACAUAAUCUGAACACUGUAUAGUCUCAUUAACAAACAAUUCUGGAAAGUAUUUAAGAAUAAAGGUGUUACAGGUUGCCCUUGAA